rnacentral:rRNA from 1 species
GCAAGUCGAACGGCAGCAUUACGUAGUUUACUAUGUAGAUGGCGAGUGGCGGACGGGUGAGUAACGCAUAGGAAUCUGUCUUGAAGAGGGGGAUAGCCCGAGGAAACUCGGAUUAAAACCGCAUACAACUUUAUGAAGGAAAAGUGGCGCAAGCUGCUGCUUUAAGAUGAGCCUAUGUUAGAUUAGCUAGUUGGUGGGGUAAAGGCUUACCAAGGCGACGAUCUAUAGCUGUUCUGAGAGGAAGAUC